rnacentral:tRNA from 1 species
GAGGGUAUAGCUCAGUUGGUAGAAUGCUUGUUUAGCAUGCAAGAGGUCCUGGGUUCAAUACCCAGUACCUCCA